rnacentral:Y_RNA from 1 species
GGCCAGUCCGAUGGCAGCAGGUUAUCAGAAUUUACUAACAUUAGUGUCACUAAAAAGUUGGUAAACAACCCCCCAGUGCUAAAUUUGACUGGCUUUAA